ACUGCUAAAUGCAAACAACUCGAAAGGAUCGGACGCAAAGUUACUGAUCCCGCUUCAAUCGAGGGAGAGUAGAACUACCGAG
rnacentral:ncRNA from 1 species